rnacentral:rRNA from 1 species
UACGUAGGGACCAAGCGUUGUUCGGAUUUACUGGGCGUAAAGGGCGCGUAGGCGGCGUGACAAGUCACUUGUGAAAUCUCCGGGCUUAACUCGGAACGGCCAAGUGAUACUGUCGUGCUAGAGUGCAGAAGGGGCAAUCGGAAUUCUUGGUGUAGCGGUGAAAUGCGUAGAUAUCAAGAGGAACACCUGAGGUGAAGACGGGUUGCUGGGCUGACACUGACGCUGAGGCGCGAAAGCUAGGGGAGCGAACAGG